AUUGGUCAGACCAUAGAAGACAGCGCGCUAGCGUAUCUAGUCUUGUAUAUAUAUCUAUGGUCGGCACGUCUGGUGGCAUCUCUGGCUGCUGUUGACCUUGUUUUUGGAGUAAAACACGGUGGAAGCUGAAUUAGUGAGGAUGACUCCUGCUCCUGUCAUCUCUAAGCUCCUCACACAUCUUUACCUGCACAUGAGGAAAAUCACUCCUGUAGAAUGCAGAUGUUCAGAGGGAGAUGAUGCCACAUCUGGUCCAGCUGAUGGAAGGUCUUGAAGUUCUCUGACUGGCCUCGACUGAAGAUGGUCGUCUCACUGGAUUUAAGGUUCAGAUGCUCAGUAACAAACUCCACCAAUGAGCCAACAGGGAAGCUUUAGGUUUAUUAAAUGUUGCUAUGAAGGUAUCGCUGUUUUUCUUUGUGAAUGCAAUGUGUUCCAACUGAAACUUGAAUUAGAACUUAGAAGUAAAUCCUUCCAUCUGAAAGGAUUUAGUUGCAUUAAUAACCUCAUAACAUUCUAAUUUUUAUUCCAGUCUUGGUUGGAAAUAGAAUCUCUGUAUUGAUUCAGGUAAAAACUGAACUUCACAGCAUGGAGCAAAACAACCAGAUGAAAACUGUGAUGGUGUUGGAUUGUCAGACCGUAAUGUUGCAGCUCAAAGCAGCUUUUCUAUCUCAGUUCAUUCUGACAUUCAGCUAUGAAUCAACACAGCAGAUGGUGAUCCAUGCUGUGGAAGUCUCACAUCUCCUGAUUUAAUGGAGCUGCUUUGCACUUUUUACACUGUUUAUUCACCAACACUUUAUUUAAUAAAAGUCCCAUCGAGUUUUUAUGAGGAAUGUGAUGUUUUAAUUUCUCUGUGAAUAACUGCAGUCUAAUGCAACAGCUGGAGUUGUAACAUCUGUCCUGAUAUUGAUCAUGAAGUAUUGAUCAGAAUACUUAUGGUUAGCAGUCAUCCCUGAAGUUUUAUAUUAAAAUCUUUACUUGUGUUGUGAACUUUGGUAAGAAGCAGAAACGUUAGCGUUGCCAUGGAUACAUGAGUGUUAAAUUCUGUCCAUGUUUCCAUUUUGGGAAAUGCAGUCCAGUUCCAGAAUGUGGAGGAAUUUAGUCUCAAUCACAGACAACAAAUAUUAUCUGGAAGUCGGGUUAUUUUUGUUUUUUAUUUAUUUAAAAUUAUUUGAGUUAAUUUGAGUUAUCAGCAAAAAUCAAGUGUUCAUUUGAUGAACUUGAUUUCCUAAAACAUCCAGAAUUGGAGCUCAUGUCUUUGGCAGCUGUAAAGUUUCUGCUCCUUCAAAGUUCACAACACAAUGAAUUAAUUCCUAAAACACUCUCAAUGCUGGAGAGCGUUUGUGAUGCUGAAGCAGUGAUCAGUUUUUCUGUUUCUUCUCUGGAGAUGCACAAUGAGGGACGUCUGCAGAGACUGAGAAAGAGUCUCACCACAUCCUGACAUCAGGAAAAAGACUUUAAGACUACAAUGAGAAAAACUAUCAGACAGCAGACGGCUGCAUUCAAGCUGAGCUCUGAACAUCUAAUCUGGAACAGGAAUUCAAUAAUGGCAGCAUGAGCUUCAUUUCAGUCUGUAGCUGCUGAAUUCAUGGAUGAAUCAUCUGGCACUAGAGUGGAAGACCAUCAAACAUUCACGUCAGCUGAUGGAGGUCCAAGAGUCUCACCGAACAACCAACCUACAGAGUGAAGACCUCAAAUCUGAUUGGA